UACAGAGGUCUCAAGCGUUGUUCGGAUUCAUUGGGCGUAAAGGGCGCGUAGGCGGCGGGGUAAGUCGGGUGUGAAAUCUCAGAGCUCAACUCUGAAACUGCACUCGAUACUGCUCUGCUUGAGGACUGGAGAGGAGACUGGAAUUCACGGUGUAGCAGUGAAAUGCGUAGAUAUCGUGAGGAAGACCAGUGGCGAAGGCGGGUCUCUGGGCCUGUACUGACGCUGAGGAGCGAAAGCGUGGGGAGCAAACAG
rnacentral:rRNA from 1 species